UGGGGAAUUUUGGACAAUGGGCGCAAGCCUGAUCCAGCCAUGCCGCGUGCAGGAUGAAGGCCUUCGGGUUGUAAACUGCUUUUGUACGGAACGAAAAGGUGCCUUCUAAUAAAGGGCGCUCAUGACGGUACCGUAAGAAUAAGCACCGGCUAACUACGUGCCAGCAGCCGCGGUAAUACGUAGGGUGCGAGCGUUAAUCGGAAUUACUGGGCGUAAAGCGUGCGCAGGCGGUUUUGUAAGACAGAAGUGAAAUCCCCGGGCUCAACCUGGGAACUGCCUUUGUGACUGCAAGGCUGGAGUGCGGCAGAGGGGGAUGGAAUUCCGCGUGUAGCAGUGAAAUGCGUAGAUAUGCGGAGGAACACCGAUGGCGAAGGCAAUCCCCUGGGCCUGCACUGACGCUCAUGCACGAAAGCGUGGGGAGCAAACA
rnacentral:rRNA from 1 species